AGGCAGCAGUGGGGAAUAUUGCACAAUGGGCGAAAGCCUGAUGCAGCAACGCCGCGUGAGGGAUGACGGCCUUCGGGUUGUAAACCUCUUUUAGUAGGGAAGAAGGGCUUCGGCUUGACGGUACCUGCAGAAAAAGCACCGGCUAACUACGUGCCAGCAGCCGCGGUAAUACGUAGGGUGCGAGCGUUGUCCGGAAUUAUUGGGCGUAAAGAGCUCGUAGGCGGUUUGUCACGUCUGCUGUGAAAUCCCGAGGCUCAACCUCGGGCCUGCAGUGGGUACGGGCAGACUGGAGUGCGGUAGGGGAGAUUGGAAUUCCUGGUGUAGCGGUGGAAUGCGCAGAUAUCAGGAGGAACACCGAUGGCGAAGGCAGAUCUCUGGGCCGUAACUGACGCUGAGGAGCGAAAGCGUGGGGAGCGAACAGGAUUAGAUACCCUGGUAGUCCACGCCGUAAACGUUGGGCGCUAGAUGUGGGGACCAUUCCACGGUUUCCGUGUCGUAGCUAACGCAUUAAGCGCCCCGCCUGGGGAGUACGGCCGCAAGGCUAAAACUCAAAGGAAU
rnacentral:rRNA from 1 species